rnacentral:snRNA from 1 species
AUACUUACCUGGCAGGGGAGAUACUAUGAUCACGAAGGUGGUUUUCCCAGGGCGAGGCUUAUCCAUUGCACUCCGGAUGUGCUGACCCCUGCGAUUUCCCCAAAUGUGGGAAACUCGACUGCAUAAUUUGUGGUAGUGGGGGACUGCGUUCGUGCUUUCCCCUG